UCCCCGAUAGCUCAGUUGGUAGAGCAAGUGGCUGUUAACCACUGGGUCGGCGGUUCGAGUCCGUCUCGGGGAGCCA
rnacentral:tRNA from 2 species